GAUGAACGCUGGCGGCGUGCCUAAUACAUGCCAGUCGAGCGAACGGACGAGAAGCCUGCUUCUCUGAUGUUAGCGGCGGACGGGUGAGUAACACGUGGAUAACCUACCUAUAAGACUGGGAUAACUUCGGGAAACCGGAGCUAAUACCGGAUAAUAUUUUGAACCGCAUGGUUCAAAAGUGAAAGACGGUCUUGCUGUCACUUAUAGAUGGAUCCGCGCUGCAUUAGCUAGUUGGUAAGGUAACGGCUUACCAAGGCAACGAUGCAUAGCCGACCUGAGAGGGUGAUCGGCCACACUGGAACUGAGACACGGUCCAGACUCCUACGGGAGGCAGCAGUAGGGAAUCUUCCGCAAUGGGCGAAAGCCUGACGGAGCAACGCCGCGUGAGUGAUGAAGGUCUUCGGAUCGUAAAACUCUGUUAUUAGGGAAGAACAUAUGUGUAAGUAACUGUGCACAUCUUGACGGUACCUAAUCAGAAAGCCACGGCUAACUACGUG
rnacentral:rRNA from 1 species